UACGUAGGUGGCAAGCGUUGUCCGGAUUUAUUGGAUUUAAAGGGUGCGUAGGCGGCCUUAUAAGUCAGUGCUGAAAUAUCCCGGCUUAACCGGGAGGGUGGCAUUGAUACUGUAGGGCUUGAGUGUAGUCGAGGUAGGCGGAAUUGACGGUGUAGCGGUGAAAUGCUUAGAUAUCGUCAAGAACACCGAUAGUGUAGACAGCUUACUAGGCUACAACUGACGCUGAGGCACGAAAGUGUGGGGAUCAAACAGG
rnacentral:rRNA from 1 species